CUAACCUCCUCACCGUCGCUGCAAAUUCAGCGACCGGGUUUAGCAGCUCGAACA
rnacentral:ncRNA from 1 species